CUUAGCAUGGCCUUCUCCUUGUUUCCUAGCCCAUUCUCUUCCAGAUAGCACUCCUCCGUGACCCUGGAGUAACUGAUUGCAGGGUGGGUUACAAACCCCUAGACUCAGUGACCCAACCCAAACGCAAUCGACAGACAGAAACCAAAUUGUUUGUAAUAGCCAGAACCUGGAAACAACCUAGAUGCCCUUCAAUGGAAGAAUGGAUGAAGAAAGUAUGGAAUAUAUACAUAUUAGAGUACUACUCAGCAGUAAAAAACAAGGACUUCUUGAAUUUUGCAUACAAAUGGAUGGAAAUAGAAAACACUAUCCUGAGUGAGGUCACCGAGAGGAGUCGCUGUUUUAUACCCUGUGAACUUCUUGGUUGGCCAGGAGGGGUCGCUGUUGAUAUCUCUCUCAACAGGGAAAGGGUGGAACUUCAUUCACCUUCCUUCCCAACCGCUUUGGGAAUGGGCAAGAGAAGGCAAACCAGAGAGUCUGACUUUAUGAUGAAGUGCUUUGGACCCAGGGUUCUCCAGAAACAUAAACUGAACCGCACCCCCCCCCCCCAAACACACGCGCGCUCGCACACCUUGUGGGAUGGACCACAAAUAAGCUGCAGAAAUUGUCUGGGUCCUGCCACUUAUUUUAGGCCAGAGCACCGAUUGUGGCAAUAACAUAUGAAAGAGGCUUCUGAAGAUGCUAGUGAUUAUGAUUCACACUCUAGAGAGGAGUUUUUGAGGCAUGGGAACAACAGCGACCAACAAAAAUCUCUACAUGUUCACUUUAUCAUGUGCCUAGGCUAGGGGAUGCAUUUGGCUUUCCUUCAUAAAAUGGAAAAAAAAAAAAAAAGAACUCAGCUAAGAGAAUGUUUUAAGCUAACCACAAGACUGGAAGACACACUAGCAUCAGCCUGACAACUGUGAGUUUAAAAGGCAAAUGAUUAUAAAAGCAUUCAUAUAAUAAAAGGAAGGGUACCGAAAAGUCCCAGUCCUAUCCUUUAAAACGGCCAAACAAACCAACCAAAACCAAACCCAAACCGCAAAUUCUGGAACAUUUUUGUACCUUCGUAAUAAAUUAGCAUUUCAAAAGUACUUUUUACCUGCUGAGAUGGUUCAUUCCGCUAAUAUGGGUAGCGCUGUGGACUUGAAUAAUUAGUGUAAAUUGCCUUUGAAUAACACGGAGCUGGGAACAACUUUAACUCGCGAAAGCUUAAUGCCUCUUGCUGGACAGGGUGAAGAGUCCUUAAUGGGGCCUGGAAAAACAACUAAUACCUACAAAUCAAAGGGGAAAAGCCGUUUUUGAUGCAUGUGUGUGAGAGUGUGAGUUUUAA